UACGUAGGGGGCUAGCGUUGUCCGGAAUCAUUGGGCGUAAAGGGUGCGUAGGUGGGUCUGUAAGUCCGUGGUGAAAUCUCCAAGCUUAACUUGGAAACUGCCGUGGAUACUAUAGAUCUUGAAUAUUGUGGAGGUAAGCGGAAUAUGUCAUGUAGCGGUGAAAUGCUUAGAUAUGACAUAGAACACCGAUAGCGAAGGCAGCUUGCUACACAAUCAUUGACACUGAGGCACGAAAGCGUGGGGAUCAAACAGG
rnacentral:rRNA from 1 species